AAGCCCCUACGGGGCGCAGCAGUAGGGAAUCUUCCACAAUGGACGAAAGUCUGAUGGAGCAACGCCGCGUGAGUGAAGAAGGGUUUCGGCUCGUAAAGCUCUGUUGGUAGUGAAGAAAGAUAGAGGUAGUAACUGGCCUUUAUUUGACGGUAAUUACUUAGAAAGUCACGGCUAACUACGUGCCAGCAGCCGCGGUAAUACGUAGGUGGCAAGCGUUGUCCGGGUUUAUUUGG
rnacentral:rRNA from 1 species